AUUGAACGCUGGCUGCAGGCCUAACGCAUGCAAGUCGAGCGGAUGACGGGAGCUUGCUCCUUGAUUCAGCGGCGGACGGGUGAGUAAUGCCUAGGAAUCUGCCUGGUAGUGGGGGACAACGUUUCGAAAGGAACGCUAAUACCGCAUACGUCCUACGGGAGAAAGCAGGGGACCUUCGGGCCUUGCGCUAUCAGAUGAGCCUAGGUCGGAUUAGCUAGUAGGUGAGGUAAUGGCUCACCUAGGCGACGAUCCGUAACUGGUCUGAGAGGAUGAUCAGUCACACUGGAACUGAGACACGGUCCAGACUCCUACGGGAGGCAGCAGUGGGGAAUAUUGGACAAUGGGCGAAAGCCUGAUCCAGCCAUGCCGCGUGUGUGAAGAAGGUCUUCGGAUUGUAAAGCACUUUAAGUUGGGAGGAAGGGCAGUAAGCUAAUACCUUGCUGUUUUGACGUUACCGACAGAAUAAGCACCGGCUAACUCUGUGCCAGCAGCCGCCGUAAAAC
rnacentral:rRNA from 1 species